rnacentral:rRNA from 1 species
GACACACGGCGGGUGCUAACGUCCGUCGUGAAGAGGGAAACAACCCAGACCGCCAGCUAAGGUCCCAAAGUUAUAGCUAAGUGGGAAACGAUGUGGGAAGGCUCAGACAGCCAGGAUGUUGGCUUAGAAGCAGCCAUCAUUUAAAGAAAGCGUAAUAGCUCACUGGUCGAGUCGGCCUGCGCGGAAGAUUUAACGGGGCUAAGCUAUACACCGAAGCUGCGGCAAUGUGCUUUGCACAUUGGGUAGGGGAGCGUUCUGUAAGCCGUUGAAGGUGCAUUGUAAAGUGUGCUGGAGGUAUCAGAAGUGCGAAUGCUGACAUGAGUAACGACAAAGGGAGUGAAAAACUCCCUCGCCGGAAGACCAAGGGUUCCUGUCCAACGUUAAUCGGCAGGGCGAGUCGACCCCUAAGGCGAGGCCGAAAGGCGUAGUCGAUGGGAAACGGGUUAAUAUUCCCGUACUUCUUACUAUUGCGAUGGGGGACGGAGAAGGCUAGGUGAGCCUGGCGACGGUUGUCCAGGUCCAAGUACGUAGGUGGAUGAAUUAGGCAAAUCCGGUUCAUCAUUAACACUGAGAUACGAUGUCGAGCUACUACGGUAGCGAAGUCAUUGAUGCCAUGCUUCCGGGAAAAGCCUCUAAGCUUCAGAUAGUAAGAAAUCGUACCCCAAACCGACACAGGUGGUCGGGUAGAGAAUACCAAGGCGCUUGAGAGAACUCGGGUGAAGGAACUAGGCAAAAUGGUACCGUAACUUCGGGAGAAGGUACGCUCUUAAUGGUGAAGUCCCUCGCGGAUGGAGCUGUCGAGAGUCGCAGAUACCAGGUGGCUGCAACUGUUUAUUAAAAACACAGCACUGUGCAAAAUCGAAAGAUGACGUAUACGGUGUGACGCCUGCCCGGUGCCGGAAGGUUAAUUGAUGGGGUUAGACGUAAGUCGAAGCUCUUGAUCCAAGCCCCGGUAAACGGCGGCCGUAACUAUAACGGUCCGAAGGUAGCGAAAUUCCUUGUCGGGUAAGUUCCGACCUGCACGAAUGGCGUAAUGAUGGCCACGCUGUCUCCACCCGAGACUCAGUGAAAUUGAAAUCGCUGUGAAGAUGCAGCGUACCCGCGGCUAGACGGAAAGACCCCGUGAACCUUUACUACAGCUUGGCACUGAACAUUGACCUGACAUGUGUAGGAUAGGUGGGAGACUUUGAAACGCAGACGCCAGUUUGCGUGGAGUCGUCCUUGAAAUACCACCCUUGUAGUGUUGAUGUUCUAACUUGGCCCCAUUAUCUGGGUGAGGACAGUGCCUGGUGGGUAGUUUGACUGGGCGGUCUCCUCCCAAAGAGUAACGGAGGAGCACGAAGGUGGGCUAAUCACGGUCGGACAUCGUGAGGUUAGUGCAAUGGCAUAAGCCCGCUUAACUGCGAGAAUGACGGUUCGAGCAGGUGCGAAAGCAGGUCAUAGUGAUCCGGUGGUUCUGUACGGAAGGGCCAUCGCUCAACGGAUAAAAGGUACUCCGGGGAUAACAGGCUGAUACCGCCCAAGAGUUCAUAUCGACGGCGGUGUUUGGCACCUCGAUGUCGGCUCAUCACAUCCUGGGGCUGAAGUCGGUCCCAAGGGUAUGGCUGUUCGCCAUUUAAAGUGGUACGCGAGCUGGGUUUAGAACGUCGUGAGACAGUUCGGUCCCUAUCUGCCGUGGGCGUUGGAUGAUUGAGAGGGGCUGCUCCUAGUACGAGAGGACCGGAGUGGACGAACCUCUGGUGUUCGGGUUGUGUCGCCAGACGCAUUGCCCGGUAGCUAAGUUCGGAAUCGAUAACCGCUGAAAGCAUCUAAGCGGGAAGCGAGCCUCAAGAUGAGUCAUCCCUGAUACUUUAAGUAUCCUAAAGGGUUGUUGGAGACUACGACGUAGAUAGGCAGGGUGUGUAAGCGCUGUGAGGCGUUGAGCUAACCUGUACUAAUUGCCCGUGAGGCUUAACCAU